GGCACUUUGGCGGAGUGGUUAACGCGCUGGCCUGCUACUAUCUCCACGGUCGUAACUAAGCCAGUUCCUUCGGGAGCGUGAGUUCGAAUCUCACAGGUGUCG